AACGCGAAGAACCUUACCUGGGCUCGAACGGCUCACGAACGUCCUUGGAAACAGGGAUUUCCCGCAAGGGACGGGAGUCGAGGUGCUGCAUGGCUGUCGUCAGCUCGUGUCGUGAGAUGUUGGGUUAAGUCCCGCAACGAGCGCAACCCUUGUCCUGUGUUGCCAUCAUUAAGUUGGGAACUCGCAGGAGACCGCCAGCGAUAAGCUGGAGGAAGGUGGGGAUGACGUCAAGUCCUCAUGGCCUUUAUGUCCAGGGCUACACACGUGCUACAAUGGCCGGUACAAUGCGCUGCUAAGUCGCAAGACGGAGCCAAUCGCAAAAAACCGGUCUCAGUUCGGAUUGCAGGCUGCAACUCGCCUGCAUGAAGCUGGAAUCGCUAGUAAUGGCAUAUCAGAACGAUGCCGUGAAUACGUUCCCGGGCCUUGUA
rnacentral:rRNA from 1 species